AUUUGUGAGCUGGUGGCCGGACCACAGGCCACACACUUCUUCCGUGCAAAUCUUCAUGUAUUGGAACUGCCUGUGUAUUGUUUUUACGAUUGGAGACUUGGCCAAGAAAAGAUGAGUUCCGGGAACGCGUCCUAUCGCUGCUCUAUGUCUUCCUCUGCGGAUUUUUCCGAUGAGGAUGAUUUCAGCCAGAAAUCUGGCUCCGCAUCCCCAGCUCCGGGAGACACCUUACCCUGGAAUUUGCCUAAACAUGAGAGAUCGAAAAGAAAGAUUCAAGGGGGCACAGUGCUGGACCCUGCCGAGAGGGCAGUGCUUCGGAUAGCAGAUGAACGGGACAAAGUUCAGAAGAAAACAUUUACAAAAUGGAUAAAUCAGCAUCUCAUGAAGGUCAGUUUUUAUUUCGUUCACUUCCUGGAAUUGUUUGGAAUAUUUCAGUUUAUUUUGCAGUAAUUGAUUAUAUAGCUCUGAAGCACAACUUUUGAAAAUCAUCUUGAAAGUUUAAAUUCUAGAGAAUUUUGCAUGCAUUUUAGGCAUCUAUAAUUAUUUGGUGUGUGGAC
rnacentral:sRNA from 1 species